rnacentral:rRNA from 1 species
UACGUAGACGGUUGGGUAAGUCAGAUGUGAAAGCCCCGGGCGUCAACCUGGGAAUUGCAUUUGUAGACUGUUCAGCUAGGGUGCGGAAGAGGGAAGCGGAAUUUCCGGUGUAGCGGUGAAAUGCGUAGAUAUCGGAAGGAACACCAGUGGCGAAAGCGGCUUCCUGGUCCAGCACCGACGUUCAGGUACGAAAGCAUGGGGAGCAAACAGGAUUAGAUACCCUGGUAGUCCAUGCCAUAAACGAUGAGGACUAGACGUUGAGGGGGUAAGCCUCCCAGUGUCGUAGCUAACGCGCUAAGUCCUCCGCCUGGGGAGUACGGCCGCAAGGUUGAA